rnacentral:pre_miRNA from 1 species
CCCUUAACUAUUAAAAGUUUUGUUUUGGUCCCUUAACUUAUUUUUUGGUUUCAUUUUGGUCCCUUAACUUAUUUUUUGGUUUCGUUUUGGUCACUUAACUCUAAUACAUUCAUCCUAACAUAAAGGACCAAAGUGGUUGACGGAGGAAGAGUUAAUGGACCAAAACGAAACCAAAAAAUAAGUUAAGGGACCAAAACGAAACUUUUAAUAGUUAAGGGACCAAAACGAAACCAAAAAAUAAGUUAAGGGACCAAAACGAAACUUUUAAUAGUUAAGGGA